ACAAUGUCAAGUCGACACGAGACAAGCCUUCGGGGUGAGUAAGUGGCGAACGGGUGAGACGUGGGUACCUGCCCCUCGCAGAGGGAUCACCGGGGGAAACCCCAGCUAAUACCUCGUACGCUUGCCGGGUCGCAUUGCUCGGCAAGGAAAGGUAGCUUCGGCCAUCCGGCGAGGGAUGGGCCCGCGGUCCAUUAGCUAGUUGGUGGGGUAAAGGCCCACCAAGGCGACGAUGGAUAGCUGGUCUGAGAGGAUGAUCAGCCACACUGGGACUGAGACACGGCCCAGACUCCUACGGGAGGCAGCAGUCGGGAAUCUUGCGCAAUGGGCGAAAGCCUGACGCAGCAACACCGUGUGGGCGACGAAGGCCUUCGGGUCGUAAAGCCCUGUUGUUGGGGGCGAAGGACGAAGGGUUAAUAGCCCCUAGUCUGACGGUACCCUUCGAGGAAGACCCGGCUAACUACGUGCCAGCACGCGGGGUAAUACGUAGGGGGCGAGCGUAGACCGGAAUUAUUGGGCGUAAAGAGCGUGUAGGC
rnacentral:rRNA from 1 species